AUUGAACGCUGGCGGCAGGCCUAACACAUGCAAGUCGAACGAGUGGCGGACGGGUGAGUAAGGUCCGGGAAACUGCCUGAUGGUGGGGGAUAAUAACUGGAAGAGGUAGCUAAUACUGCAUACCCUGAGAUGUGCCCAGAUGGGAUUAGCUUGUUGGUGGGGUAAGGGCCGACCAAGGCGACGAUCCCUAGCUGGUCUGAGAGGAUGACCAGCCCCACUGGAACUGAGACACGGUCCAGACUCCUACGGGAGGCAGCGUUGGAGAGUAUUAGACAAUGGGCGCAGGCCUGGUCCGACCCUGCCGAGUAUAUGGAAAAGGCCAUCGGGUUUUAAAGUAAUUUCAGUGGGAAAGCGUUACCCGCAGAAGAAGCACCGGCUAACUCCGUGCCAGCAGCCGCGGUAAUUC
rnacentral:rRNA from 1 species